UUUGGUGGCGAUAGCGAAGAGGUCACACCCGUUCCCAUUCCGAACACGGCAGUUAAGCUCUUCAGCGCCGAU
rnacentral:rRNA from 1 species